UGUGGAUUGAUGUAAUUAGUAACAUACCUGGCUCAUGCCCAGUAUAUGGGGGUGCAAGUCCUCCGUCCGCAU
rfam:Phaeosphaeria nodorum SN15 mitochondrion, complete genome.